GGUAGGGGGAGCGGUCUAAGGCGUCUAGCUGUUAACUAGAAGAUCCCUGGUUCAAAUCCAGGUCCCCCCA